rnacentral:lncRNA from 1 species
GAGGGGAAAUGGAGAACAGAUUGAAGAGGCAAGGAGCAGAUACUAAGUCAAUUAUGAGGCUGAGGUGUUUUGGCUGAAAGAGGGAGCUGCAGAGUGUAUAGCAGGGCACUUGGUCCUUCAGGGCACCGGAUGCUGACCUUGUAAUGUGAUCCAUCCCUCAAUUCCUUAUGACUCCCUCACUGAUCUGGAGCUCAUGUGAUUGGGAAUGUCAUCAGAAAGAAAGAGCAGCCCAGAUUUGCAGGGUCUUGGAGACAGUGAAGCCAUAAGAAGGGGCUGAGGCAACCACAAAUGAUUCUUGAUGUCAGUGGGGCACGAAGGUGUUCAUGAAGAUCUUUUUAGGGAUGGGAAGUGAUUUUAAGUAAAUCACCUGUUAUUUCUGACCUGACAAGAGUGUUUGAAAUGUUAUAUGGAGGAAUUGCAAAUUAAUUUUGACUGAUUUUCAGUUUGGCUGUGGGUGGGAUUACACACUGAAAAACAUGUCAUCCCCCAGUGUUAAUAAAAUUCUUCAUAUAUUAGUAUCCA